rnacentral:rRNA from 1 species
CGGACGGGUGAGUAACACGUGGAUAACCUACCUAUAAGACUGGGAUAACUUCGGGAAACCGGAGCUAAUACCGGAUAAUAUAUUGAACCGCAUGGUUCAAUAGUGAAAGACGGUUUUGCUGUCACUUAUAGAUGGAUCCGCGCGCAUUAGCUAGUUGGUAAGGUAACGGCUUACCAAGGCAACGAUGCGUAGCCGACCUGAGAGGGUGAUCGGCCACACUGGAAUGAGACACGGUCCAG